CAACACUUUGAAAUUGAACCUUCAGGCCAUGCGUUCACACGCGCCAGUGCGUUCCGACAGGCUGCGCAGUCCUUUGAAGAAGUGAGAGGCAGCAAUUUUUUGUUGUUGUUGCUUUUGCGUAACAAAUGUUGAAGGACGAAUAUAUAUAAUGACGGAAUAUAUACCAGCUAUACAAAAGCGAUGACGGCGGUUCAUCACACGGGGAAAAACAGCAACCAUCAUAUACAGACGUCAGUGACAGUUCAUCUGGCAGUUAGAUCACCUUCCGGCUAAAGGAUGGUUCUGUGUUUUGUUCUGGACUGAUAGAACUCUAGUAAUUAGAGUGAAUAAUGAAAUCAGAAUCAAAUUUAUUUUCGCCAUAUAUGCGGGUGCGCAUGCAACGACCACUAUUAUGAUAGCAAGAGUACGUGGAGACCAGUGUGCAAGUCGCAAGAAGAAGACAUAUCGCGUAAGUAUUACAUUUGCUUUACCAAAAAGCACAAGAUUUCAAUACUUCAAAAACGGAUAUGUUUGCAACACUAUUGUGUCGUUCAUUAUUGCUUUCUUCUUUUGUAGUUAAACUAUCGAGAAAAUAACUAUUUAACGGGGAACAAAAUUUAAUCAAGUGGAUAUUGCAUUAGACAGUUCUCGUAAUCGUCAUCUGAACUGCAGAAAGAGUCAAGCAAAAUUGUUCGCGAACGGCGCGUUAAUUGUAAACGGCCCUGUCGCAGUACAGAAAAAAUCGUCAAACGAACUAAGCGCAGGCGACUCGUGGACUGUACAGUUCUAGGAAACAUUUCAGUUGAAUGUUUUCACUGGGGAGGGUGAAAGAAGCGAUUAUACGAAGGCGAAUUGUGAAGAGAUGUCAAAAUCUGCAAUUUUUCUAGCUAUUGUCGAUUCGUCUAAGAAUAAUUAAGGCUGCAUGCCAAUCAAUGUAAAUCAUAAAAUAGAGCAUUUCUGCUGUCGACGUGGAUUUGAUUGGGAAGAACUAGAGUUAGAUCAAAUUCUUCCAAUUUUCGCUCAAUUAACUAAUGACGUUCAACAAUCAAGCAGUUAAGAAUUAAUAAAUUCAUGGUAUAUCAUGAGUGUUUUUUCAAGCGCCGUCUCCUGUGAAGCAUAUCUACCAUUUUCGUGCAAAGCUCUCUGGAAAGCGUAUUGACUGUGUAUGCAUGCAUGCAUCUAUCGAACUUCGUGCACAUAUAGACGUGAUGCUUUGACGAUAAAUACUUAUUAAAAUUCUAAUUAUUUAUUUCUGCCUUGUAAAGGUACAGACAGCAGAGGCGCAGAAAAAGCUGUCAGAUACAGAUUGACAAAGCCGCAGCCCCCUUUCGCUUGGCAGAGCCUUCACAGCGACACUUUUAAAACAAAGACAAUUGCACCCGGUAAUAACAGGUAUACAAUACUGAGCAAGUACAAAAGGAAACCAAUCAAGAUUAUACGAUAUUUGUACAAUACUCCCAAACAAGAAAACAGAACCUACAUGCUAACGUACAUAGCACCCAAAGUACUGUUCGACACGUUGAAGAAGUCAAAAUUAUUGUUCACAUAAGGUAUAUACAUAUUCGUAUAGCGCUACCAAUCCCUGCAAAAUAUAGAACGCAGAUUUUCAUUACACACACGCACGCACGCACGUGCACAGCACACACACCAAAAGGAAACGGCAACGCGCUCACAGGAAGCGCCUGAAAAACGAAAAAAAAAAAAAGGAAAAGUGUGGGGAACCGAGGUCGCCUUGGGCUGUCGCCUCUCCCUCUCCCAGAAGGAAUGAAGAGGUUCUUGGAAAGCAGGGACGGGCGAUUCUCUCUGUCAGCAUCAGCUCCCACCAGCGAGGACGGGGCGAGAAAGCGAAACGGGACUUUCCUUGCUGUCUAUUUUUUCUUCGUCAGGCCAACGCCGCUUGCUUGCAGGGGCGCAGGCGAGUUCCCGCCAAAUGGCGCGGGUGCGUGAGUUGCCGCCAAAUGCUAGCUCUGGAUGCCAGCUCGUUCCGUGUCUCAUGGUAGACUAGUUGGUGCAUUUCAGUUAUCAUGGACUGCGCAUAUAAACGCAAGCUACACAAAAGUGACAUGGACAAGAACAGCGCAAGCCCUUUACAUGCAGUGGAGCCGCCGUAUCUCGCCGUUCAAGAUAUGCGUACUCGAAAAAAAAAAAAAAAGAGGCUUUACAUGAGAACGGAUCAAGCGUUCGAGAGUUGGGACAGGGAAAUGUGAGACGUACGUAUGUAUAUAUUUCUAAUAUUAUUUUUUCGUCUUGUAUUCUCGUUAAUUUUUCUCUAGGAAACACUGGAACGACACUGCUUAAAUUGAAGCACAGUGUGCGAAUGACCUGCUACGCUCGGAACUGUUAUCACCAUUCGGGAAGAAAUUGGAUGAAAAAACAUAACUGUAAAUACCUGUAUGAUAUGCGUCUGGUGCAUUGCAGGUAAGAAUGGAUUGUGUGUGGCGCGCUUCCCCGCAUGUGGGCUAGAGUAGAUCUAGGAACAUCAGACAAGAAGACACGUAUGUGAAACCCUGCGGAUAGCCCAUAUGUAAGUUCUUCCUCAAUUUUUCUUUUGUUGCAUUUUCGUAGUUUACGUGUAAUACUUUGUCACCGCGGUCUCGACGUUAUGUAUACCUAUACAUUUGUCUCGUGGCAGCCUGCGUGCUAUUUUGUUUGUGCAACUAUGUGUUGUAUUCAUUUAUCGAGCUGCUUGGAUGGUUUUUUUUUUUUCACUGAUAUUCCGACCAAAGUCGAUAAACCUAUCCUUCCUGUCCUCAUGUUUCCUUGGGCGGCUCUAAAGCAUAUCUUAGAGGAAUAUUUAGCUUCAGAUUCCCGCAUCGAACAGAUGGUGAGUGGCAUGCUGUGUUUUCUAUUUAGAGAAACUAUCUAUUCAUGUUUAAUUUUUGGUUUAUUUUCAUUUUGCCAUUCAUACAAUACCGCAGCCAUAUGCCGUUCUGUCAUAGAACGUUGUUUCUAGAUAUAUUUGUUUUAUGUGGUUAAAACAUUUAAAACGAGAGCGAUCAUAUUUCUUACCCUGACCAUUACUUUUUACAGACCGCGAUAACCACGUAUUUGGAUGUCUGGUUUAACUCUACAUGCGCUGGUUCGUGCAGGUGAACUUUUUUUCCAGAUACGGAGGAACGGACACCGGUCAUGCCGUGCGCACUCUUCUGCAGGGCAUACUUACAAAUGAAGCUGCACUGCAGUUCAGCUGGAAAGGGUCGCAGGGGAGGAAGCACGCCUUCGUGAAGCUCAUGGCCAUCACGAAUAUAACAUCUGUGAGGAGCACGUUCCCUGACGCUUCACUAGCAUCAGUGGCUGGAGUCGCAAAACGCCGGUUGGUUGGAGCAGCUGACAGGGAUGGAGGCCGGAAUGAAAGAAGGCGCCGUGACCCUGCUUCAAGCCCACCAAAUAUGAACUAGUGUUUGAAACUUGUGAUCGUGUCGGUGUACAUAUA